rnacentral:rRNA from 1 species
AGUGAACGCUGGCGGUAGGCCUAACACAUGCAAGUCGAACGGCAGCACAGUAAGAGCUUGCUCUUACGGGUGGCGAGUGGCGGACGGGUGAGGAAUACAUCGGAAUCUACUUUUUCGUGGGGGAUAACGUAGGGAAACUUACGCUAAUACCGCAUACGACCUACGGGUGAAAGCAGGGGUUCUUCGGACCUUGCGCGAUUGAAUGAGCCGAUGUCGGAUUAGCUAGUUGGCGGGGUAAAGGCCCACCAAGGCGACGAUCCGUAGCUGGUCUGAGAGGAUGAUCAGCCACACUGGAACUGAGACACGGUCCAGACUCCUACGGGAGGCAGCAGUGGGGAAUAUUGGACAAUGGGCGCAAGCCUGAUCCAGCCAUACCGCGUGGGUGAAGAAGGCCUUCGGGUUGUAAAGCCCUUUUGUUGGGGAAGAAAAGCAGCAGGUUAAUACCCCGCUGUUCUGACGGUACCCAAAGAAUAAGCACCGGCUAACUUCGUG